GCCACCUUAGCUCAGUGGCAGAGCGUUAGUCUUGUAAACUGAAGGCCCUGGGUUCGAUCCCCAGAGGUGGCA
rnacentral:tRNA from 1 species